AUUGAACGCUGGCGGCAUGCCUUACACAUGCAAGUCGAACGGUAACGCGGGGCAACCUGGCGACGAGUGGCGAACGGGUGAGUAAUGCAUCGGAACGUGCCCAGUUGUGGGGGAUAACUGCGCGAAAGAGCAGCUAAUACCGCAUACGACCUGAGGGUGAAAGCGGGGGAUCGCAAGACCUCGCGCAAUUGGAGCGGCCGAAGUCGGAUUAGCAAGUUGGUGGGGUAAAGGCCCACCAAGGCGACGAUCCGUAGCUGGUCUGAGAGGACGACCGGCCACACUGGGCCUGCGACACGGCGCAGACUCAGGCGGGAGGCAGCAGUGGGGAAUUUUGGACAAUGGACGCAAGUCUGAGCCAGCCAUGCCGAGUGCGGGAAGAAGGCCUUCACGUUGUAAACCGCGUUUGUCAGGGAAGAAAUCUUCUGGGUUAAUACCUCGGGAGGAUGACGGUACCUGAAGAAUAAGCAGCGGCUAACUCCGUGCCAGCAGCCGCGGUAACAC
rnacentral:rRNA from 1 species